GACGAACGCUGGCGGCGUGCUUAACACAUGCAAGUCGAACGGUAAGGCCCCUCGGGGUACACGAGUGGCGAACGGGUGAGUAACACGUGGGUGAUCUGCCCUGCACUUCGGGAUAAGCCUGGGAAACUGGGUCUAAUACCGGAUAGGACUCCUGGCUUCAUGGUUGGGGGUGGAAAGCUGUUGCGGUGUGGGAUGGGCCCGCGGCCUAUCAGCUUGUUGGUGGGGUAAUGGCCUACCAAGGCGACGACGGGUAGCCGGCCUGAGAGGGUGACCGGUCACACUGGGACUGAGAUACGGCCCAGACUCCUACGGGAGGCAGCAGUGGGGAAUAUUGCACAAUGGGCGCAAGCCUGAUGCAGCGACGCCGCGUGAGGGAUGACGGCCUUCGGGUUGUAAACCUCUUUCAGCUAUGACGAAGCGCAAGUGACGGUAGUAGCAGAAGAAGGACCGGCCAACUACGUGCCAGCAGCCGCAGUAA
rnacentral:rRNA from 1 species